rnacentral:lncRNA from 1 species
GUGGCCCGAGGCGGCCCGGGAGCCAUUAGUAAAUGCGCCACCCGAGCCACCGGGCCCGCCCAAAGGCUGACCUCCCGCCCGCUCCUUCCGGUCGCGUUCUGGGGCCGACUCCUGGGCCCAGGCCUCGGCCCCGCUGCCCGCGCACCCGGACAGCUUCUCUCUGCUCAAGUUCAUGAAGGGCCGGGCCGCUCGGCAGCUUUCCGGGCCCCGUCUCCAGGCCGAGAGUGCUCCGCCGCCCAACCGGGCCUUCCCCCCACGGACCGUCCGUCCCGCGGCUUACCGAAAGAGUGGAGGUUCUGGAUAGCGGACAUACGAUACGAUUCCUUUUCCUCGGUGGAAACGGCCUGCGGAAGGCGGCGGCGGGAGAAGGCGGGCGGGGGGGACGGAGCGUCGGGAAGCGAGGGGGCUCGAGGGGGAGGCUGCUGAGUCCUCGGCGGCGGCUCAGUGACUGGGGCGGAGGGGCGGCGCCUGUAUUCACUUAUAUAGCCGCCCCUGUGACGCCAGCGCGUUGCACUCACGUCCCGGCCCCACCCACGGCGUCGUGCCCUGAGCGCCCAAGCGCCGCCUCUUCCAAUUGGUUCGGGGGCGGAGAUGCGGCGCGGCGCUUGCGCAGGAGCUCAGUGCUGCAGGAGGGCGUCCUCCUGGCUCUCGGAGAGCUGGAAGGGGGAGGGAAAGCUUAGUCAGUCUAGGCGCCUGCGCAGUGCGGAAGGAAGGUGUCUGGGCUGCGCAGAAAAUUGGCGGAGGUUUCGGGCGCGCCUGCGCACUAUGUUCUCUGGCACGUUCCAUCCUCUUGACUCUGUUGCGGCGUUACCUGCUCCAGGAAGGAUUGUUCCUGGGGGUUAUUGGCACUCCUUAGAGGGGAUUUAGCUGCCGAGCGUCCCGCACAUGACAGAUGCCCCCUAUCUCAUACCCACCCACCUACCCACCGGGUCACACACUUACUCCCACUUUCUUUGCAGAUUUACGGCGGCACCUUUAUUUAAUCAACCUAGAAUAAUAUAACCCAAACCCUAACUUUGGCAUUUAGAUUAAUUUAUCAUUUAGAUGAAUCUAAUCUAAAAAUGGAUUAGUCUGUAAAUUUACCAUUUAGAUAAUCUAAGGAAAGGACACCUAGCUCAUUAGCACGAGGCCAAGAGAGAGUAAUGCUGGUUCUGGGGGACCGAGAAGAAUUCAGGCGCCUGAAGGAUGUCCUUUGUGUCUUACAAAUCGUGUGUGGUGGAGCCUUCUCGGAGCGUAGAUGAAUAUUUCCUUCAAAUCAGUCAACCCUUCUUGUUCUUUGCAUUUAUUAAUGGAAACGCUCUCCGCUGCAGGGGUGAAAAGAGUGGUUUUAGACGCCACAGGCCUCCAGGGGCCAGGCAGGAAGCGGGGACAUGGGCGUCGAUGACAUGGGCGUCCCAGUCUCACAUCUCCCCAGUCUGCGAAGCUGAGUGCCCUCCUGCCCUCCACCUGGGAGCCUCGGCACUCACAGACCUGGCUCUGCCUGAAAGGGGUUUGGGGCGACAGUGGAUUAACCCUGAGCUAACAUCUGCCAUAAAUCCUCCUCUUUUUGCUGAGGAAGACUGGCCCUGAGCUACUAUCCGUGCCCAUCCUCCUCUACUUUAUACGUGGGAUACCUGCCACACGUGGCUUGCCAAGUGGUGGGUAGGUCUGUGCCUUGGAUUCAAAUCGGCGAACCCUGGGCCACUGAAGUGGAACGUGCGAACUUAACUGCUACACCACUAAGUCAGCUCCAAGAUAUUCUGUAUUUUCUUCUGAAAGCUUUAAAGCUUUGCUUUUUACAUGGACUUUACUUUUGUGUGUGGUGUGAGACCGGGGGCUAUUUGUUUUUUCCUCCGUGGAUAACCAAUCUUCCCAGCGCCCUUUAUUGAGUAACACAUCUUCUCCUUACACGCUUGUGCCUCCUCUAUCAUGAUUGUGUUUCCAUUUAUGCGUGGGUUUGUUUUUGGAGUCUAUUCUGUUCCACUGGUCUGUUUAUUUAUCCCUAAGCCACACUCUCUUAAUUAUAUGAGUUUUACAAAAAGUCUCGAGGUCCGGUAGAAGGAGCCAUUUUGUUCUUCAGAAUUUCCUUGGCUCAUCAAGGUGCUAGUUCCCCUUUCAGCCUCAUGACAAGUCAGCACUCCCCACUUGGCACACCAUGGGGUUCUGUGAAGCCCCUUAACUUUGCCCUCCCAGGGUGUCCGUGCGUGCUCUCACUCUGCUUGGUACAUUCUUCCCACCUCUUCUUCACUUGGUGUUGCCACGCACCCUCAGGACUCCUUCUGAGAAGCCUGUGUUUGGAGCCUUUCUCAGUGCCCUCACUUCCCCUAUUUUGGCAUGUAGCACACUGCAUUUUGCUUGCCUGUUCUUUGGACAUACAUAAUUUGCUGGUCCUAGUGCAAAAUGAAAACGUGAGGCCUUUUGUUCAAAAUGGCUAAGAAUUUCAAGACAGCACAGCAGCACAUUAAACCAAGCACAGGGCCCUUCUAAGCACGGGGCGCUGUGUGACUGAC